UUGCAUGCUUUAACUCUAUGUACAUUAAUAUUGGAAUGAUACAGGGAAGAUAAGAUGGUACCUGUGCAAAGAUGAUAAGGCAAAUCCAUGAACCCUCUAUAUUGUU
ensembl:snRNA U6 U6 spliceosomal RNA